UACAGAGGUCUCAAGCGUUGUUCGGAUUCAUUGGGCGUAAAGGGUGCGUAGGCGGCGCGGUAAGUCGGGUGUGAAAUCUCGGGGCUUAACUCCGAAACUGCAUUCGAUACUGCCGUGCUUGAGGACUGGAGAGGAGACUGGAAUUUACGGUGUAGCGGUGAAAUGCGUAGAUAUUGUAAGGAAGACCAGUGGCGAAGGCGGGUCUCUGGACAGUUCCUGACGCUGAGGCGCGACAGCGUGGGGAGCAAACAGG
rnacentral:rRNA from 1 species